rnacentral:rRNA from 1 species
CAGUCGCCGCGGGAAUACGUAGGUGGCAAGCGUUAAUCGGAAUUACUGGGCGUAAAGCGUGCGCAGGCGGUUCUAUAAGACAGAUGUGAAAUCCCCGGGCUCAACCUGGGAACUGCAUUUGUGACUGUAGAGCUGGAGUGCGGCAGAGGGGGAUGGAAUUCCGCGUGUAGCAGUGAAAUGCGUAGAUAUGCGGAGGAACACCGAUGGCGAAGGCAAUCCCCUGGGCCUGCACUGACGCUCAUGCACGAAAGCGUGGGGAGCAAACAGGAUUAGAUACCCCCGUAGUCCCUGUCUCUUAUAC